rnacentral:rRNA from 1 species
UACGAAGGGGGCUAGCGUUGCUCGGAAUCACUGGGCGUAAAGGGUGCGUAGGCGGGUCUUUAAGUCAGGGGUGAAAUCCUGGAGCUCAACUCCAGAACUGCCUUUGAUACUGAAGAUCUUGAGUUCGGGAGAGGUGAGUGGAACUGCGAGUGUAGAGGUGAAAUUCGUAGAUAUUCGCAAGAACACCAGUGGCGAAGGCGGCUCACUGGCCCGAAACUGACGCUGAGGCACGAAAGCGUGGGAGCAAACAGG